rnacentral:rRNA from 1 species
CCUACGGGCGGCUGCAGUGGGGAAUAUUGGACAAUGGGCGAAAGCCUGAUCCAGCAAUGCCGCGUGAGUGAAGAAGGCCUUCGGGUUGUAAAGCUCUUUUGCCCGGGACGAUAAUGACGGUACCGGGAGAAUAAGCCCCGGCUAACUCCGUGCCAGCAGCCGCGGUAAUACGGAGGGGGCUAGCGUUGUUCGGAAUUACUGGGCGUAAAGCGCACGUAGGCGGCUGACCAAGUCAGGGGUGAAAGCCCGGGGCUCAACUCUGGAACUGCCCUUGA